rnacentral:rRNA from 1 species
GGCAGCAGCCGCGGUAACACCGGCAGCUCUAGUGGUAGCUGUUUUAUUGGGCCUAAAGCGUUCGUAGCCGGUUUAAUAAGUCUCUGGUGAAAUCCUAUAGCUUAACUGUGGGAAUUGCUGGAGAUACUAUUAGGCUUGAGAUCGGGAGAGGUCAGAGGUACUCCUGGGGUAGGGGUGAAAUCCCGUAAUCCUAGGAGGACCACCUGUGGCGAAGGCGUCUGACUAGAACGAAUCUGACGGUGAGGAACGAAAGCUAGGGGCGCGAACCGGAUUAGAUACCCGGGUAGUCCUAGCCGUAAACUAUGCGGACUUGGUGUGAGGGUGGCUUUGAGCCGUCCUGGUGCCGAAGGGAAGCUGUUAAGUCCGCCGCCUGGGAAGUACGGUCGCAAGACUGAACUUAAAGGAAUUGGCGGGGGAGCACCACAACGCGUGGAGCCUGCGGUUUAAUUGGAUUCAACGCCGGAGAUCUCACCAGCGGCGACAGCAGUAUGAUGACCAGGUUGAUGACUUUGUUUGACAAGCUGAGAGGUGGUGCAUGG